UACGGGGGGGGCAAGCGUUGUUCGGAAUUACUGGGCGUAAAGGGCUCGUAGGCGGCCAACUAAGUCAGACGUGAAAUCCCCAGGCUCAACCUGGGAACUGCGUCUGAUACUGAUUGGCUUGAAUCCGGGAGAGGGAUGCAGAAUUCCAGGUGUAGCGGUGAAAUGCGUAGAUAUCUGGAGGAAUACCGGUGGCGAAGGCGGCAUCCUGGACCGGCAUUGACGCUGAGGAGCGAAGGCCAGGGGAGCAAACGGG
rnacentral:rRNA from 1 species